rnacentral:rRNA from 1 species
GAUGAACGCUGGCGGCGUGCCUAACACAUGCAAGUCGAACGUGAGGGGGUAGCAAUAUCUCUGAAAGUGGCGCACGGGUGAGUAAGACGUAGGUGACCUGCCCUGGAGUGGGGGAUAACAGCUGGAAACGGCUGCUAAUACCGCAUAUUACCGGAACACUGGGAAGUGUACUGGUAAAAAACUCUGGUGCUUCAGGAGGGGCCUGCGGCCGAUUAGCUAGUUGGCGGGGUAAGAGCCCACCAAGGCGACGAUCGGUAGCUGGUCUGAGAGGACGAUCAGCCACACGGGAACUGAGACACGGUCCCGACUCCUACGGGGGGCAGCAGUGAGGAAUAUUGGGCAAUGGGCGGAAGCCUGACCCAGCAACGCCGCGUGGAGGAAGAC